GGUUUGUUGUUUUAUUUAUAUUAGAUUUGACCUGCUCAGUGAUUAUUAUUAAACAGCCGCAGUAUAUUGACUGUGCAAAGGUAGCGUAAUAACUUGUCCCUUAAUUAGGGUCUUGUAUGAAUGGUUGGACGAGAUAUAAUCUUUCUUUGACUCAAUUUUAUGAAUUUAAUAUUUUAGUGAAAAAGCUGAAAUGUUUUUGUGGGACGAGAAGACCCUAUAGAAUUUUAUUUUUACAUCAAGGUUUUAUUUUUUUAAGUUUUUAAUUUUUGUGUAAAGAUUUGGUUGGGGUGAUUUUGGAAUUUAUUUAACUUCCAUUAUUUUUGUUCAUGGAUUAAUGUUUAAUUGUUGAUCCUUUAUUAUGGAUUAUUAGACAAAAUUACCUUAGGGAUAACAGCGUAAUUUUUUCGGAGAGUUCUUAUUGAUGAAAAGGUUUGCGACCUCGAUGUUGGAUUAAAGAUAGCUUUGGGUGCAGAAGCUCAGGAGUUAGGUCUGUUCGACCUUUAAAUCUUUACA
rnacentral:rRNA from 2 species